CGAGAAUUGGCUCGGAAGUUUAUAGGUGAAAACCAGAGCGUCUCAACGGUGGCAUUUUGGUAUUUUGAGCUGGGUAAUUCUUUGUCGGGCAGGGCCUGUCUGUGCAGAGGAUGACCAGCAGCCGUCUUAGCGUCUGCACACCAGACGCCGGUGGCCACCGUCCCCCCGGCCGUCCCCUGGGAGCACAAAGCCACCCCAGCGGAGAACCACUGGUCUAAAUGAUCUUCCCAGCUGUGCGGCAUCUAAAAGAUAAUCCUUAACUCUCGCCAACUAGGUGUUUCCUAAGACCCCGCACACGGCACGUGGACACCCGUAACGCGCACCUGCUGUGUGUGUCACGCUACUGCUCGCUGAAUGUCUUCUGUUUGUCCCUCCUGAGAUCUGCCUUCUCCCCGUUGGGAAGUGGGAGAGGGAUAGUGAGUGUGUUGGGGGUUGGGGGGCGACCUGUGUCGCCACCGGUGACCAAUCGCACCCCAAAUCCCGAGCCUUUCUGGGUUGCCCGCGUGUGGCCGCUCCGUCCUCCCGACCCUCCUCUGAGUCUCUGCCCACUUAGCUCCCACCUUCCGUCUCCUGUUCUGUGAUUUUCAAGAUCCGAUGUCUCUAGUUCUGCUCAAGGUACAGUUUGGGGUUAUUUUCUUUUUAUUAUGUUGGGCAAGUUUCUGAAAAGAAAAGGCAGAAACGUGUUUGUUCUGCCGGAGGAAGGCUGGCAGGGUCUGCUCCGCUGUCACGAUGACGUCAGAGGAGCGCACGGGGUCAGGAGGCACGACCACGGCCCUGCGCACCUGGCCCCGGCUCAGCUCCUGCGUGUGCGCUCCCACACGAAUUUCUUCUGAUCUCUGGAAAUCUGGUUUUAACUCAUUACGCUUAAUCUCUGUUUGCUUGUUCAGAAGGUGCCUUUCUGAAUGGAAAUCAUUUCUGGAAACCCUUAAGCCUGUGCCUGCUCUUUCUGAACUCCACUUGUUCCAGUCACAGAGUCACCAGGACAGAGCUGACCGUGUCUGGGAGAAGGGGGGCAGAGGCUGUGGACGUGUUCUUCACCGUUUCCCAUGGCGAGCCAAGCCCCGACACCCGGCGUGGAGCAGGGCCGCGCAGCACUGGCACCGGCCGGGACUCGUGGUGGGCAGGGACUCAGAGAGGGACGCCCCGACCAGACCCUGGCUGUCUCCAGGACCUGGGAGCUUACCUGCAUGGGGACGCACCUGGCGUCCUGUGGCCCAGCCCGGCCGUUAA
rnacentral:lncRNA from 1 species